rnacentral:rRNA from 1 species
GCAGCGACGCCGCGUGAGGGAUGAAGGCCUUCGGGUUGUAAACCUCUUUCAGCAGGGAAGAAGCGCAAGUGACGGUACCUGCAGAAGAAGCGCCGGCUAACUACGUGCCAGCAGCCGCGGUAAUACGUAGGGCGCAAGCGUUGUCCGGAAUUAUUGGGCGUAAAGAGCUCGUAGGCGGUCUGUCGCGUCUGCUGUGAAAACUCGAGGCUCAACCUCGGGCUUGCAGUGGGUACGGGCAGACUAGAGUGCGGUAGGGGAGACUGGAAUUCCUGGUGUAGCGGUGGAAUGCGCAGAUAUCAGGAGGAACACCGAUGGCGAAGGCAGGUCUCUGGGCCGCAACUGACGCUGAGGAGCGAAAGCAUGGGGAGCGAACAGGAUUAGAUACCCUGGUAGUCCAUGCCGUAAACGUUGGGCACUAGGUGUGGGGCUCAUUCCACGAGUUCCGUGCCGCAGCAAACGCAUUAAGUGCCCCGCCUGGGGAGUACGGCCGCAAGGCUAAAACUCAAAGAAAUUGACGGGGGCCCGCACAAGCGGCGGAGCAUGCGGAUUAAUUCGAUGCAACGCGAAGAACCUUACCAAGGCUUGACAUACACCGGAAACUUCCAGAGAUGGUUGCCCCGCAAGGUCGGUGUACAGGUGGUGCAUGGUUGUCGUCAGCUCGUGUCGUGAGAUGUGGGGUUAA